rnacentral:rRNA from 1 species
CGGAGGGGUUAGCGUUGUUCGGAAUGACUGGGGCGUAAAAGCGCGCGUAGGCGGAUCAUCAAGUCGGGGGUGAAAUCCCGGGGCUCAACCCCGGAAUGGCCUUCGAGACUGGUGGUCUUGAGUUCGAGAGAGGUGAGUGGAAUUCCGAGUGUAGAGGUGAAAUUACGUAGAUAUUCGGAGGAACACCAGUGGCGAAGGCGGCUCACUGGCUCGACACUGACGCUGAGGUGCGAAAGCGUGGGGAGCAAACAGGAUU